GUCUGGAUGAGCAGGGGAGGGAUGGUGAGCGGGGGGCGUCGGCAGCGACGCUGGCGCGGGGGGCCUUGUCUUCAGAUAUGGCUAUAAACUGGAACCGGUCGGGGCUUCUCUGCGAGCGGCGCGGCCCGGGAGGGGGUGGAGUGGCGGAGGCUGUCUCCAUAUACAUGAAUGGAUCGGCAGAGGUUGGGCCGAUUAAUCGGCUUGACCCGACAUCCAUUAGUGCCGCUUGGAGGUCCUGCACUGUAGAGUGGGCAUUGUGCAAUAUCUACUCGUCCUGUCGGUGUUUUUUUAAUAAUUUGAAUUUUGUUGAAG
rnacentral:lncRNA from 1 species